ensembl:lncRNA
AUGAAUAAAAAGAUGGCUGCUUCCAGGAGAGACAGAGCAGAGCAGGGAUCCGGACCACGUCUCCCAGGGGACUUCCUGUGGCGGCAAGAUGACAGGUGUAACCUCAGAGAACCCUCUGUACUCCCUUCCUUCUCACUGCCCCCCCUUUCUACUCCGAGAGUGCAUUUGUCACAGGACCUGAACACAUCCUUAGCUGCUAAUGUGAAAACAUAUUCUCUUCUUGCCGGGGCUCAAAGCCUGCACUUUGCACCUCCGCAUGCACUUGGGGAACUCCAGGUGCUUUCACACAGGGUAGGAGACGGGGAGGGGGUUAGACUUGGUGCUGUUUCUUGAGGGCUGUGUGAACCUGGAUGGGUCACUUUGCUCUCUGUUUGCAUUUUCUCCAAAUGCACAGUGAAGGUGGAAAUGCCAAAUCAUGAACUCUCCACAUUCUGAUGGGAAGGACACUGCUUUCUUCCAGAGACCCGUGAUUCUCAUCAUCUAUAAUGUAUUACCUCUUAUUCCAGAUGACAUUGGCGAUUUGAGCAGCAGAGUAUGGUUCCAAAAGUCCUGUAUCUUUUUUUUUUUUUAUUUUUUUUAAUGCUUAUUUUUGAGAGAGAGAGAGAGAGGGAGUGAGGGAGGGGCAGAGAUAGAGGGGGACACAGAAUCCAAAGCUGUCAGCACAGAGCCCGACGCGGGGCUCAAACCCACAAAACUGUGAGAUCAUGACCUGAGCUGAAGUCAGAUGCUUAACUUGACUGAGCCACCCAGGCGCCCCAGUCCUGUAUCUUGUAUAUUAGCCUAACUGAACAAUUCAAGGGCCUCUGCAGGAUCAUCACAUCAAAUAGUUCUUGGAGAGUCGAUCACAGUAUAUUAUUUAUCUAAAUGGUACCCCAGAGUUGUGCAAAUUGGCAGGGCCUGAGGAUGUGGUGGGGAUCAUAAUCAUCAUUAUGGUAUCUCUCAGUUCUUUGAUCAAGACACUAAUCUCAGUGACUCCUGCCCCCUUUGCUAGGGAGGGGGGAACUUUAGGGGCUUCCCCUUGGCCUUUCCUUUUUGGCUCCUUCUUCAUGGAUUAGGAGGCCAACAUGUGGAUCUGUGAGUUCCUGAGACUAUGUUUCGAACACUAUAUUUAGAAAUUCCAGGACAGAUUCGGAGUUUCCACUGAACUUACCAUGAAACAAAAUUGAGUCAACAUUCCAUUUAUCACUUGGCCUCUAAAUAGAUUUAAUAGUUCUCAUUCUACCUGCUAGGCUGCAGGAGGUUCUGGGUCCUAGGACUUAGUGUUUAAUUAAGGCCACUGCCUAGUCAUUCCUCAGAGGUACCUACACCCUGCUGAAAAGACACAGGUCUCUUUGGGGAAGGCUAGGAGAAAGAGUUACAGGGCCUACUUUCAAUAUUUUUACAUGAUUCACGCUUCCCUUUUGAAGGCUACUUGGCCAUACGUCCAUGCAAGGAGCCCUGGGUUCGUUCAGAUACCCAAAUUGCAUUGGGGAUGGCAACAAUGUUAGUAGCAUAAUACCUCGGUGUCAUAAAACCUAGAAGUAUGCAAAUCAAGUAGGUCCUUAUUGAGAUACCAGUCUCUUUGGGGCUUAAGGAAUCCCAAGGUCAUGGCACCUUCCACUCUUGUCCCUGCAAGUCAGCCACUUGCUGCUUAUUAUGGUAACCACGCCUACUUUACAAAUGCAGGUGAAAUGCUUCUAAUCGUCCCCACUGGUGUUUCCUCUUCCCAGUGAAAUUCGUGACUCCAUUUUACCCGGAACUUGACCCAUCAGCAUCCCCGGCCUAGAGAAAAACACCAUGAAACCACUCUUCAGUGAUGCUGGCCCUCGCUUCAUCAACGCAGAUCUUAAGUCUUGCUAGGAGAGUGUGUUCAGAUCAACUAAGCAAUCGCUGAUAGGGAGUAGGCGGUCACCCCUGAUGAAUCCACUCGAGCAUUCCCGUCCCCCAAAGACUUUGAAUCCAGAGUCCCUGGAAGGAUAGGCUACUGAUAACGUCCGCGAGGUAAGUUAACGUUUUUCUCCCUUUGGCUGAGGCACUCUCAAAGUUCAUUGCCACACUUGUUGUCCAGUGUUUUGUGCUUCUCACCUCAGGUUUGACUUUGAAACUCCCUCCUUUUCAUUCUCUAAAGCACUCAUGUAUUUAUUUGAUUCUAAUUAUGAAUCUGAAGACAAUGGUGGGAGACAGGUAGUUACCUUGAUUGGUGCUUCUGGACUUCCAGGGUACCCUUGAAAGCAUUCCUUGCAUUCCUUUGCAAUCUCUAGGGAAGCCUUCUUUUUUCAUCUGUACCCUCACUUUUACACAAGAGACAACGGGUAUGGUGAGGCUGGGAAUUCAUUGUAUAUGCCGCUUUGUUAGCCCAAGGCUUGGGUUGCAUUUGCUCUCUCUCUCUGCCUCAGCUUUGUAGAUGUACAUUACAAAGGACUCUUUGCCUGCCCAAGGCAUGAAAGCUUCCCAGAUCUUAGUUUGUACCUUGAGCAGAGAAUUUAGGGAUUUGAGUUUGUAAUUAUCUUUCUUUGAGCUAUUGGUGGCUUUCCAAUGUGGUCCUUGAAUCCCACAUGCAUGUUUUAUGGUCCUAGUGUUAUGGGCCAUGGGCUAGUAUGAUGGUCCUCCAAACUUUGCUCGUAGUGUGCCCUCAGCCAAUAGUUUAGUCAUUGUUGUGAUUAUCGUUUGUUACCGCCUGCCAUAAAUUUCUCAAUGUCUAUUCCUAGCGAUGAAUGGCAAUUACUCUGCCUUUAGCUCCCUUAGAUUAGAUAGAUGAUCCAAAAUUCCUGUCCUUCUAGAUGUCCACCCCUCAUCCUCUCAAGCUUUCUGGAUUGCAGCUCAUUCCUGGACACUCAGUUGCAAGUAACAGAACUCACUCUGGUCGACUGUGGAAAAAUAAUGCACCGGAAGGGUAUUAGGUAACAGAAUUCGGGGGAAAUUCGGUAUGAAUAAAGGAGGCAGGGGAGUAGGGAACCCA